UUUACAAAAAUAUGAAGCUGCAUAAAAUAUAUUACUAGUUACUAAAAAAAUUUAAUAAGUUUUCAACGUGGGAAAAAAUAUAUGAAAUUACAGUCAGAAGUCAGAAAUCAUGCAACAAUUAAUUACCUGAUCAUUUUUUGUUAUUAAUACCAAUCAAUUAUUAUAAUUUUUGUCUACAAGAUAUGUAGUUGGUGACAAUAGCAGAUGGUGCAAAAUAUAUAAAUAGUAAAUAUAUUAAUUAAUUUGUGAACUGAAAUGAAUAAUUUGGCUUGUAAGUUAGGAAACAAUAUAUGCAACUAUUAAGUGUUAAAUAAUUCCCACGUUGUACGAAUAAAACGAACAAAUAAGUCAAUGUAACAGUAACCAAUUUGUUGAAAUGUGUAUUAUUAUCAUGGGUUUCCAUUGACUUUAUGCAUUGAAAUUCCAUUUUAAUGUUUUAAGUGAAAAUUUUUCUAUUCCUGCAUUUAAUAUUGUUACUAGUCUAAUUUAUCUUAUCGAUAUACAUAAUUUUAAGAAAUUUAACGCAUUGCAUUUUGUAAAAGAAAAGAAUUAAUUCAAGCAUUCGUUCGAAAUUGUAAGUAGAGUGGAGAAUGUUAAUAGAUGUAACGAGCUUUUUGUAAACUUUAGUAUAUGUACAUACAUAGUCACAAAAGAACUUACCGAACGUGUAGGAACUCAAAAUGCUAAAUUUUUUAAUUACCUAGGUACUUGUACAAAUAGUAAUUAACGAAAGCUAUGUAACCCGUUCUAAUUAAAACACCGUUUAUGUAACUUUACUUUUUA